CCGGUGGCUUCCUCAUUCCAGGGUGGGACCAGACAAAGCAGCUCAGACUCCGGGCUCAGAGCCAGGCUUCUACCAUGGCG